GGCAAGGGUUAAGUAGUGAGUUUAGCAACUUUCUAGUAAAAAUCAGUAAAUACAGUCACAAUCUGUCUCCACCACUUAGGACCCCAAAAGUUCUUUACAGGUAUCAUGAAUUUAGAUACACAUUGAUAGGGAACAAAUACUGCUCUGCCUGAUAACUUCAUAUAUCCCCUGUACUUUACUUGCUAGUGGUAUUAUUCAGUGGUCUAACAGGUAAUUCUUAAAACUUGGUGGUGAAAAGGUCAUGGUGUUAACAAGAUUAAAUUCAUCACUGUUCUCAAAAGUCUUGGACAAGAAAGGAGAUGGGAUACAUCUCACCAAAAUCAAAGCAGAUUAUGACAUGUGUGCUAUGAAGGGAAAAAAAAAAUUGUGGGCUGGGUGCAGUGGCUCAUGCCUGUAAUCACAGAACUUUGGGAGGCCAAGGUGGGCGGAUCACUUGAGGCGGGAGUU
rnacentral:lncRNA from 1 species